CUCGAACCAGAUUGGGCUUAUAAUUGGCGGCCCAAUUAUGUCUAUUAAUUGGCUAGACCCAUCUACCCUUUACUUUUAACCAUCAUUCACAUAUUUGCAACAAUUAAAAUCAAACUUGAUUUUAAAAAUAAAAGUCAUGAUAUGCAACAUAAUUCUAAUACAUCAAUUGAUUACAUGUUCAACACGAAUUAAAGGCUAAAAUAUGAUACUAUUACUGAAAAAUUAAUUAAUUGGACCACAAAAUUAUUCAUGAAAAAAAAAUUCUAGACUGACUCAAAGUCUAGGCCUAUGGACUUGGCCCAAGCCAUUUGAGACUAAUCUUUCAUUGGACUAGGAAGUCAUCCUCCCUUUCAUUCAAUUAAACAACAUAAUUAAGUCCUUAAUGCAUCAAUACUAUGCCAUAAUUAUCAGAGCAGCCCAAACAAAGUAAGAAAGAAAUCUUUUCCAGAAGUUUAUGAGCAUGUUACAUGAGAGAUCAUUAAUACAUGAACUACUAAUGUUAAAUAAAGCUAACUUUAUUAUAUUUUUUGGAGCCUAACUAAUCCCUUGCCUCUUUUGGACAUGAUUUGUACAUCACAAGCUUGGCUUCCUCCAUAAAAAUCACCAGAUCCAUCCCUACAAUAAAGCUAUAAAUUUCAGCUUUUAUACCUGCUGAUUUGGCCAAAUAAUGACCAAAUCUGCAGGAGGCAGCUUGUGACCAAGACAGAAACAAAAACCGUUAAGUAAAAAAAAACAAAACACUCGUUUAAGUUGAAUAUGAGAAAAAAGCAAUCUAACAACAUAGAUGUUUGCAAGAUUUAGAAGGCUACAAAGUAUUCAAACAAGCUGCUCAUAUUAAACCAAAACAGAACUUAUAUGAAAAGAUGUGGGAAUUAACAAUUUUUAACAAAACAUUUACUUUCAAUCCUAGAAUCUGGGCAGUUUUAAAGAAUAUUUUUCUAUACUACUGAAGUGCAUAUAAAACACAAGAAAAACUGAUGAAGGAAGUGAACACACAUUAACUUUUACCAUUGAAUCAUACAGUCAUACACAAAUAGACAUGAAGAGAUUCAGAUUUACACAAAUAGAUUCAUUCUCAUAGUUAGAGUGGGUUUACACACCUAGAGAUGAUUCAAAACAAAGACCAAAUAAAGGUUAAUAAAACCGUUUAACUUCUCAGAAGAAAAUGAACAACGACAAAUAGCAAACAACAACCAAAAUAGACCCAAGUUUGGCUCCCAAGCUCAACUUUUAAAACCCAGAAAUUUCAGCUAAAGAAACCAGGAAAGAUCUUUUACUUCAAGUCAUCUUUAUAGCUUGUAAUAAAACCAAAAUAAGAGGUUUUAAAAGUUUUUCUAAACAAAUUCGGAGACCUAAUCUUUUGAAAAGAGGAAAGAAUAUUUUUUGUGUAGUAAAUUGAUGCUUAAUAUGUCCUGAGAGUGAGGGAAGGCUUUCUUUAUAUAGAGUAUACAAAAAGCAUCACAAAAGGAAUAUUCUGACCUAAUUUUUUUGAAAUUUCAUAAUAUUACAGCAUUUCUAUAAAAGCUCUCCGUCCUUUUCUUAUCAUGUUUCAGCAUUUUAUGCUAAGGAUAGGGACAGAUGUGAUAUUCUUAGAACAUUCUGAUAUUUUUUCAAUGUAAAAGUCUAGUUUUGACCUUUUAAAUUCUGCUUAUUUCAUUUUACCUAAACUUUUCGGUUCAGUUAAGUCCCUAAGGUUCCUAUUUUUUGAUAAAUCAGAACCAACAUCACAAGACGAAGUGAACACACACGAAAAGAUCACAGAAAUAGAUUACUGAGCAACCAACCCUUAAACAUAAAAUCAUUUGAUAUGAACAAAAUCAGAAAUUAAACAAACACAAAAGAGAUAUUUAAACCUAAUAUUAGCAUGAGUUUCGAAGGAAAUUUAUUAAAACCUAAUUAAGAAAAAACUUAUCCUAUGUACAAGUAAUAAAACCAGAAAUUAAAGAAAGAAAAGAGAACAUAUACCAUGUGGCUAAAUCAGACAUAGAAUCAAGUAAAAAGAAACAAAACUGUAAUUUAAAUUAACCCAAGUUAAUUAUCUUAAAUACAUCGAACUAUAUUUAAUUAAAAUAAUUAACUACAUAAACUUAUUUUACUAAAAUUCAAACAAGCCAACAAUCAAAACAAGCAAGACUGAUACCUAAAAUAAAAAUAACUAACUAAAGAGAAGUAGAGAAGAAACAGAAACGAACUGAUUUUGGCCGGAAAAACUUGAACAAACAUAAUAGAUAAAAGGACGAUGGUAUUUGUUGAAGCUUGGUCGGUUAUUGCUGACUUGGUCGGAAUCCGGUAGGUCUUGAAAUCAACCAAAUCUAAUGCUAAUCGAUUGUUCUUGUCAAGAACAAUCGAUUGGCAUAAACUUUCGCUCAAUCGAUCCUUCGAACCCGUUGAAAUCAGAUCAAGAACGGAUUAGAGGUUUUCAAUUUUCUUUCAGAAUCUAAGAUUUGAGAAUUGACUAUUAAGGGUGAUUUGAAGGAAACUGGUAGUCGAUUCUGGAAGAAGGGGGUAAGGAUCACCCGGUAUGAAUUUGGGGCAAUUUGGAGGAGUUAGGGUUUUUAGUUUGAAUCUAAGAUUCGAAAUUCGAGAAAUUCGGUAGGGGGUUGAUUUAGAAUUAAGAGGGGACGAGGAUUCUGUGGUGUAAAAAUGGUGGUGUUUGGAGCACGAAAACCGCCAUGAGGUGAUUUCCGACGGGUGGUUUAUGCCAGAGGCGACGAUGGAUUUUAGAGCGGCUAGGGUUAACUUUGAUAGAGAAGAGACAGAAUAAGAGGGGUAAUAGGGGGGUCAGUCUCGUUAGGACACUUUUAUACUCUAUCUGUUCAAAUUUAUGGGAGUAUAUUUGACUGAGCACGAAAUUUAAGAAAAAAUAAAGACUUUUGAAAUUUGUGGUCCUAAAUAACUCAAAAAGAGGGUCCACAGUAUUUGUGUGGUUAUAAAAAAUUCUCACUAAGGGUAGAAUUGAAAAUUCAAGGUAAAUUAUUUUCAGAUUUAAAAAGGAUUCAUUGUUUUUAAAACACACCAAAAAGGAAAUCAGUUGACAUAAACUAGAACGGAGGGAGUAUUAAAUAGCUGACCAAUUCUGAACCGUUGAUCACUAGUAUCUAACGGUUGUGAUCAAGAAUGGGCAAAACAUGGUCGUUUGAAGAGGAUGGGGGACUGGACCGGGUGUGUUUGAUUUUGGGCUUGGGUUGUGGGUAAUUUGAGAACGGAUUUGGGCCAGAUUAAGGUGUAAAAUUAGCCCAAUUUCAAAAAUAAAAAUCCCUUCUUUCACUUCUUUCUUUUAUUUCUAAUUUCUUUUCUUUUUCUUUUAAUUAAAAAUCCUAAAAUUGAAAUCCUAAAUUAUCUAAAAAUGUGAAACUAAAUUAAUUAUCUAAUUAAAAAAAUUAUAAAAU
rnacentral:lncRNA from 1 species